rnacentral:rRNA from 2 species
UGGGGAAUAUUGCACAAUGGGGGAAACCCUGAUGCAGCGACGCCGCGUGGAGGAAGAAGGUCUUCGGAUUGUAAACUCCUGUUGUUGGGGAAGAUAAUGACGGUACCCAACAAGGAAGUGACGGCUAACUACGUGCCAGCAGCCGCGGUAAAACGUAGGUCACAAGCGUUGUCCGGAAUUACUGGGUGUAAAGGGAGCGCAGGCGGGAAGACAAGUUGGAAGUGAAAUCUAUGGGCUCAACCCAUAAACUGCUUUCAAAACUGUUUUUCUUGAGUAGUGCAGAGGUAGGCGGAAUUCCCGGUGUAGCGGUGGAAUGCGUAGAUAUCGGGAGGAACACCAGUGGCGAAGGCGGCCUACUGGGCACCAACUGACGCUGAGGCUCGAAAGUGUGGGUAGCAAACAGGAUUAGAUACCCUGGUAGUCCACACCGUAAACGAUGAUUACUAGGUGUUGGAGGAUUGACCCCUUCAGUGCCGCAGUUAACACAAUAAGUAAUCCACCUGGGGAGUACGACCGCAAGGUUGAAACUCAAAGGAAUUGACGGGGGCCCGCACAAGCAGUGGAGUAUGUGGUUUAAUUCGACGCAACGCGAAGAACCUUACCAAGUCUUGACAUCCCUUGACGAUGCUGGAAACAGUAUUUCUCUUCGGAGCAAGGAGACAGGUGGUGCAUGGUUGUCGUCAGCUCGUGUCGUGAGAUGUUGGGUUAAGUCCCGCAACGAGCGCAACCCUUAUGGUCAGUUACUACGCAAGAGGACUCUGGCCAGACUGCCGUUGACAAAACGGAGGAAGGUGGGGAUGACGUCAAAUCAUCAUGCCCUUUAUGACUUGGGCUACACACGUACUACAAUGGCGUUAAACAAAGAGAAGCAAGACCGCGAGGUGGAGCAAAACUCAGAAACAACGUCCCAGUUCGGACUGCAGGCUGCAACUCGCCUGCACGAAGUCGGAAUUGCUAGUAAUCGUGGAUCAGCAUGCCACGGUGAAUACGUUCCC